rnacentral:rRNA from 1 species
UGAGCAAUCUGCCCUUCUCUUCGGAAUAAAGCGUUGGAAACGACGUCUAAUGCCGAAUACGACCUCCUUUCGCAUGAUCGGAGGUGGAAAGCUCCGGCGGAGAAAGAUGGGCUCGCGUCUGAUUAGCUUGUUGGUGAGGUAACGGCCCACCAAGGCAACGAUCAGUAGCCGGACUGAGAGGUUGAACGGCCACAUUGGGACUGAGACACGGCCCAGACUCCUACGGGAGNAGCG